rnacentral:rRNA from 1 species
UACGGAGGGGCUAGCGUUGUUCGGAAUUACUGGGCGUAAAGCGCACGUAGGCGGCUUUGUAAGUUAGAGGUGAAAGCCCGGAGCUCAACUCCGGAACUGCCUUUAAGACUGCAUCGCUAGAAUUGUGGAGAGGUGAGUGGAAUUCCGGAGUGUAGAGGUGAAAUUCGUAGAUAUUCGGAAGAACACCAGUGGCGAAGGCAGCUCUCUGGGACGGUACUGACGCUGAGACGCGAAAGCGUGGGGAGCGAACAGG